rnacentral:rRNA from 1 species
AUUUGCAGAGGAUGCUUCGGGUGCGGCCGCCGUCUAAGUUCCUUGGAACAGGACGUCAGAGAGGGUGAGAAUCCCGUCUUGGGCGGGCGGUCCGCGCCCGUGUGAAGCUCCUUCGACGAGUCGAGUUGUUUGGGAAUGCAGCUCUAAGCGGGUGGUAAAUUUCAUCUAAAGCUAAAUAUUGGCCGGAGACCGAUAGCGCACAAGUAGAGUGAUCGAAAGGUUAAAAGCACCUUGAAAAGGGAGUUAAACAGCACGUGAAAUUGUUGAAAGGGAAGCGCUUGCGGCCAGAUUCGGGGGCGGGGUUCAGCGGGUGCUCGUCGCCCGUGUAUUCCUCGUCUCCCGGGCCAGCAUCAGUUUCGACGGCCGGUCAAAGGCCCCCGGAAUGUGUCGUCUCUCGGGACGUCUUAUAGCCGGGGGUGCAAUGCGGCCCGUCGGGACUGAGGAACGCGCUCCGGCUCGGAUGCUGGCGUAAUGGCCGUAAGCGGCCCGUCUUGAAACACGGACCAAGGAGUCUAACAUCCACGCGAGUGUUCGGGUGUCAAACCCGUGCGCGCAGUGAAAGCGAACGGAGGUGGGAGCCCUAGGGCGCACCAUCGACCGAUCCUGAAGUCUUCGGAUGGAUUUGAGUAGGAGCGUGGCCGUUGGGACCCGAAAGAUGGUGAACUAUGCCUGAAUAGGGUGAAGCCAGAGGAAACUCUGGUGGAGGCUCGCAGCGGUUCUGACGUGCAAAUCGAUCGUCAAAUUU